GGAUUGUGGAUCAGCGGUAGAGCGCUCGCCUAGCACGGGCUAGGCCUGGAUUCAAUCCUCAGCACCA
rnacentral:tRNA from 1 species